rnacentral:tRNA from 1 species
CCGUCGAUAGCUCAGUUGGUAGAGCGGUGGACUGUAGAUGCAUAGGUCCCUGGUUCGAAUCCGGCUCGACGGA